GCCGAGGUGGCGGAACAGGCAGACGCGCUGCGUUCAGGGCGCAGUGGGCUUAUGCCCAUAAGGGUUCGACUCCCUUCCUCGGCACCA
rnacentral:tRNA from 1 species